GACAGAGGGUGCGAACGUUGUUCGGAAUUACUGGGCGUAAAGCGCAUGUAGGCGGCAGCGCAAGUCGGGCGUGAAAUCCCACGGCUCAACCGUGGAAGUGCACUCGAAACUGCGCAGCUAGAGUCCUGGAGAGGAAGGUGGAAUGCUUGGUGUAGAGGUGAAAUUCGUAGAUAUCAAGCGGAACACCGGUGGCGAAGGCGGCCUCUGGACAG
rnacentral:rRNA from 1 species